CAGGAGUAGUCACUUCUUUCACAAAAGAGCAAUGUUUUGUUUGUUGCAAUACUUUCGCAACAGUUGAUAAACAGGAAUGUAUAAAUAAAUGUAACACAAAAUUUUCUUCGUCCCAAAAUUUUUUGACAAUGAGACAGUGUAUUUUAAAUUGUGAAAUACUUAUUGAGGUAUGUCAAGGUGAUUGUAAGGAUGCAUGUAGAAGCGCGCAUAACAAACGUGGAAAAAAGCGAAAUAUGCCACUCCAAUUAGGGAUAAAAAAUACUGCUAUAAAUAAAUCAAAAAC